CUGAAAAUACUCAUCAUCACUGGUGUGGCCAAGCACCCACAUGCUAGUCGAUCAAGAUGUGGGUUGACGGAAUAACGGGCAACAAUCUCCUCCCUAACUUCAUUUUUAAAAAUUAGCAGUGACCUUCUCCCCUACUGCCAAUGACAGAACAUAACAGCACCACAAAGAAGAUAAGUCUGGGGCUACUGAUGCAGGGGACCCACCUCUUCAGGUGGGAAGCCUCCUAGGUAUGUCAGGAUCAUGAAGAUGGUGACCCGGUUUCUCCAGGUUGCAAACUACACACACACGCACCACUGCCCUGAAGACAGCAGCAACAAGAAAAGCCAUCGUCACCACUCAGAAAACUGCAGAGGAGGCAGGAGCCGCGGAGAAAGGGGACUGAGCGGGGCCUUAGGAAGGCUGAUUCCAGCUUCCCUGGAGAUCAGCUCUGGACCUCUGUUUGCUCAGAGGACUUUUGUGAGGAUCCAAUGAUGGACAGCAGGUGCAGCUAUAACUAAUAAGAAAAACAUUGACUUUGAUUUAUUUUGUGUGUGCGUGAGGAAGAUUCGCCCUGAGCUAACAUCUGUGCCAAUCUUCCUCUUUUUUUUGCUUGAGGACGAUUAGCCCUGAGCUAACAUCUGUGCCAAUCUUCCUCUACUUAGUAUGUGGGAUGCCACCACCGCAUGGCUGAUGAGUGGAGCAGGUCCAGGCCCAGGAUCCAAACCCGCAAACCCCGGGCCGCCAAAGCAGAGUGCGCGGAACUUUAACCACUCGGCCAUGGGGCUGGCCCUAUUUUGAUUUUUUUAUUACAAGUGUAAUACGUGUUUAUUGUGGAAAGUUUUAAACAGAAAAGCAUAAGGGGAAAAAUGGAAAUUACCCAAAUAUCACAACUGUUGACAUCUUGCUGGUUAAUCGGCCAUAUUUUCUGCUAGGUAAAUGCAUACACAUAUUACAGUACAAGGCCUUCUGUAUGCAUUUAUUAGGAAUGUGCCCAAAUAUAUUACGUGGCCCUCAUCUCAUGCUCAUCCUCUCCAUUCUUCCUUUCCAGCUUACCUUUUGGUCCCUCCAAACACGCCCCACCUUCAGGAUUUUGUAUGUGCACGCCCUCUUCCUAGAACGCUCUUUCUCUCUCCGCUGUUUCUUCUUCUGGCUACUCCUACUUAUCCUUGAGGUCUCAGUUUAUUCAUCACCUCCUUAGAGAACAAUUCUCUGACUGCUACCUUUGUCACCAGCCCCUUUGUGAGCACCCAGAACAUCCUGUUCUUCUUCCUCAUAGCAUUAUCAUACUGGACUAGUCUUGCCUCUUUGUUAUCUUGUUUUCCUUGCUGUACUCCAACUCAUGGGCAGGUACUGUAGCUUUUGCUCAUCAGCAUUUACCAGUGGCCGGCCCAUAGCAAAUGGUCAAAAAUUGUUGAAUAAAUGAACAAAAUAUUUAACAAUAUGUGUUACCUAUAUUUCUUUUGAAAUCCCCAAAGUAUAUGUCAUUUCUCAAUAAAUAUCCACUGAAAUGUUAAAUAUAGAAAAAGGUACAAGACAUGGCAACAUGUCUCACGAAGUUUAUAAAUUAGACAGGAGAAAACAUUAGCAACAGGAAGCCUCAGGAUGCCACUCAGGGCUAAGUUGUCUGCUCCUGCCUCCUCUCUGAGUUCUCUUAAGACUGGAAAGGGCAGUACACAAUCCCUAACUUCAGUUGCAUAUUUUUCCUCUCAUUGAGGAUAUCCUGUAGUACCAGUUGGAAUAAGAAGACCCUAGCAGCUUCACAUUUAUACUCCAAAAUCUUGGUGCUUCGACACAAUAAAGUUGAUUUCUCACUCAGGCAAAGUCCAAUGCGACUGUUCCUGCUUGGCGGGCAAUCUUCCAUGCGGUCAUUCAGAAAUCCAGCUCCUUCCAUCUACGGCUCUGACCUUCUCUACGUCCCGUCCCUGAUAUUUAACCAGGAGAUGGGAAGAGAGAGUUUUAUGAGCCAGGCUUGUAAGUAGCACACACUACAUUCAUCCUCUUUUCAUUGGCUAAAACCCAGCCACAUGGCCACACUUAAUUACAAAGGAGGAAAAGGAAAAAGAGUUUGGUGAACACUGAAGUUCUUCUGCCACAAAUGGCAAGGGAGUAUCUAGUCUUAAGUGAUCUCAAGUACCAGUAAUUUUGAUUUAUGGAUAGUGAAAACACUUGUUUUGGUAGAAGAAGGUCCUUCUAACUUAACACUGGACAUAAGAAAAUAUCAUCCCAGGUUUUCAAAUUUUGAGAGUAAAAAAAGGGUCAACGCCAGACUUGAGAAACCACCAAUAUUGGUGACCAUUCCCCGACAUAUUCUAAAAGAGAAUAUCUAAAGAUGGCUUUUAUGAACUUUGAAAAUAAAAUGAUGAUUGCAAGUUACUAUGGGCUCACUAGGAAUUAUCAUAAACUAACCCAGCAUGCUGUCUGGCACAGAGUAGACAAUAACGAUGUAUUGAACAGAUGAACUUCAAAUCUACUUUUAAGGCAACUAUCCCAUUGAUAAAUGACUGUAACUUCAGAAAGUUCUGCCUUAAAUACAGCAGUUUGCCUCUCUAACUUCUAACCAUUACCCUCACUCUGACCUCAAAACCUACAGAAUAAGUCAACUCUCCCAGGUGACAGUUGCACAACUAUUUGGAGACUUCCGUAUGUGCUCUCAUGGUCUUUUAUUUUCCCCCCUGGGUAAAUAUUCCCAGGGCCUUCAAUUCCUCUCUGUGGGACAGAGUGUCAAGCUUCUCACCACUUGGCCGACCUUCUCUGAGAUCUCUCUGCUUGGUCGAAGUUGCUCUCCACAGUUUCAGGUCCACAAUGUUCCCAAUGAGCUCCAACCAGCAGCAUUCAGUAGAAUUAUCACUCCCCAGCUCUGAGUAUCAAAAGAAGUAUUUAAACAGUGAAGAUGCUGCCAAAGGGAUCCAGGAUU
ensembl:lncRNA